AGCAUUAAGCCGGAAAUAACGGAUUACUUUGAUGAAGUAAAUUAUAGGCUCAUACACCUUAAUGCUU
rnacentral:tRNA from 1 species